ACCUGUCAAAAUUUAAACUGAAGUAUGAAGCUCAAAGCUAUUUUAAUAAUUAUUGAAAAUUUUAAAGAAUUAGCUACACAUCAGAUGUGGGAUAUAUUCAAGCUAAAGAGUUGGUAUUUGAGAAACGAAAAAGUCACAGCUUACUCUAAUGUCAAAACCGAACGAAAAUUUGUUAGAAGUUAUCGUUAAAAUAAAAAUCAACCAUAAUGGAUUCUUGUAACAUAACUAACGUCAAAACGAUCAAAAUUGACAAUUAACAGAAAUUAUAUUAAUAAGGAAAAACAGCAUGUUAACCUGCUUUGGGUUGAAAUGCGUUUCAAUUUCUUUAUUUACGUAAGUUCCAGCCGUUUAAAUGAACUUUGGUUAGUUUCGCGAAAUUUGACGAAACUCAGUAGAAUUUUUUAAAGACAUGUUCAUGAACCGGGUGCGGUAUUUAUACCAAGGAUAAAAUGUGAUAAAAUGUUUGUCCUUUUGUUGAUAUAUUAUUUCCCGUCAUAUAAAUGCACUGCCAUUUUAUUUUA